GGGAGAGAGGGGACUAAUGUGGUUGAUUCCAUCCCUUCAUGGUAAUCAGGACAUAGUAAGGCAGGGAUUAAGCAAGUGCCUGAACAAGACAAGUAGGCCAAGAGUAAGGUCGAGAGGCCCACAGCUUGGGACAAAGCUCCAGAAAACUGGAGGAGGGGCAGCCAACCUUACCUCUUGACACCUGCAUGGGGGAUCUGCCUAUGACAGCCUGUGACAUCUCAUCUGUGACAUCACAAGCCUGUGACAUCUGGUUUUUUCAAGGAUGCUGGAAAUCAAUUUCCUGAUUUUAAGUUUUUGGUUGGCCAGUGGGUUUGAGAUAGUCUAAUGAGACUAUACUAUAGACUAGCCAGGCCUGGAACUCAUUAGACAAAGCAAGUGUUGAACUGGAGGAGAUCCUCCUGCCUCAGUCUCCUGAGUAGGCCUGUGGGUACAGGUUGAGGCUCUCCUGGCCUGUGCAUUUCCAUGUGGGACUCACUGACCUCUGAAGGGAACCCUUCCUUUGGGUCCUCUGAACUCACAGUCAGUGGCUGUGGCUCACUGACGACCUCCUCUCCACUGUGGGCUGGAGAGCCUUUUGUGGAACUGGACCCCGAGAAGACCCUUCCCUAUCCUCAGUUGAGGUAGGUCCACUCCAGGGACACGGUUACCCUCAAGUCACAGAGGCAGAGCAUGCAGCCCUUCAUACCCGGUCAAUGUGCGUGACAUUCCGGAUCCCAAAGGCAAUGGUGUAAACGUCAAAUCUGUCAUCAUCAAAGGGCAGUUCUUCAGCGUCUCCCAGCACCCACGCAAGUCCUGGAAGACAAAAGCGACUCUGGUGUGCAGAGGGACAGGAGGAAGCAGUUUCCCAUGCACCCGAGCAGUGAAUCGGAGCCUUCUGUGGUACACCAAAUAAAAGGCUAGUGCCCUAGGCACAGUGCGGUGGGGACGUCCAGUGACAUGGAGCCCAUGAUGCAAGGUCUGGGCCAUGUCAGAAAUGAAGGGAGGAGAAUUUGAGAAAUGCUUGGUGUUGUGGGGACCAUGGAUUGCAUUAGAAAGCAUGACAUCCCUGCCUUCACUGUAUUCCGGCUGCCUUCACUGCCAUCCUCCAAUUCUGAGAACCUACCUUAUUUGGGGACAGUCAUCUAAUAAAUAGCAUUUUCUCUCUCGGUGCUGGGGGACAAACCCUGGCACUCUGUGCUGGGCAGGUGCCGCCCCUGAGCUGAGCUACACAUCUACCCUACCCUAAGCAAUUUCCCCAACCAGGAACCUCAUGGUUAGCACUGUGCUGAAGGGCCACGGCCUUUGGAGACCACUCUCAUCUACUGUUAGGUCCUUUACUUUAGCUGGGAGCGGGCGUCAAACUCAGAGCCUUGCAUACAUUAUGCAAGCAUUCUGCACUGAGCCACACUCCCAGCCCUUGUGAUAUAUUCAAAAAUACUCUUGGUUUUGGUUUCUUAUUUAUCUGCGUGUCUACCACACAUGUGGUUGAGUCCUAGGCCUAAAAAAGUCAGGAGGUCAUUGGUUCCUCUGGAGCUGGAGUUACAAACGGCUCACAUGGGUGCUGGGAACUGAGCUCAGGCCCCUGGAAGAGCGGGAGUACUCCUGAUCACUGCGCUGUUACUCCAGCCUGUUUCAGUUUAUGUGUAAAAUGGAAAUAGACCGAAGGUUUUAAUGAGCGACGAGUACAGAGUUUAGCACGUUCCUAUGUCUACAGCUGCUAUCACAUCUUCAAAUCCUCUAGCCAUGGAUUCUAUGUUGAAAUAUUUGAAGAGGGGCUGGGUUGAGAGAUGACUCAGUUAAGAGUAGUUGUUGCUCUUACAGAGGACCUGGGUUCAAUUCCCAGCACCCACCUGGUGGCCACAAACACCUGUAGCUCCAGUUCUAGGAAAUCCAACACCCUUUUCUGACCUCUUUGGGCGCCAGGCAUGUGUUCAGUGCACCAACAUACAUGCAAGAAAAGCAUACAUAUAAACAAACCAAGUCUUUACAGAGAAAAUGUGUGACUAGGUAAAGUGCUAAAGGCUCAGAGGCAGAGUGGAUAGUCAGGGUCCCUAAAGCCCUGGGUUCAGGGUAGCAUCAACUCCACCCCCUUCUCUCUGAGACAGUAGGACAGACCCAUGCUGGGAGCAAAUUUAAAUGCCGCUGAGAAUGACCUGGAACUUCUGAUCUUCCUGGGUCAUAGGCUUAUGGGCAUGUGCCUCUACCAACUUGCAGUAAUCCUCCUGCCUCCACUUCCUGAGUGCUGGGACUGUCCAUGGAUGGCACUACUCCCAUCUCCAGCUCUCUUUUAACUUUUCAUUUCGGGAUAAAUUGAAUGAAAUUGUCCAAGGCUAACUAAGGACUCAUUCACCAAGCCCAGACUGUCCUGGAGCUUUUGAUUCUCUUGCCUCAGCCUCCAAAAUAUCUGGGAUUGCAGGCCUGCAUCACUGGCCUAGUUCUGAAUUCGGAAAAGGAUAGAUCCUUGUCAGUGUGAUGUUCCUGAAGGGCGUGGGACUGAGUAACUAAUACCAGCAAGAUGCUCGGCAGAGACGGCGUGAUCGCCAAGUCUGACUCGGAGUCUGCCCUCUGGAAACACACAGUGGAAGGACAGAGCCACGUCUCACUCACUGUUCUCUGACCGCUGCCAAAACACGCUUUCACUCUUGCAUGUGUGGGCGUGCUCGAGUGCGUGCGUGCGUGCGUGUGUGUGCCAGACUGAAAAGCACCAUGAAGUUCUCACACUCAAGCUGCCACAUGAACGCUGUGAAAGCAGGCAGAGAGAGCUGAGGGCUUGAAUCUUUUUUUUUUAAAGAUUUAUUUAUUCAUUUAUUAUAUAUAAGUAAACUGUAGCUGUCUUCAGAUACACCAGAAGAGGAAAUCAGAUCUGUUUACAGAUGGUUGUGAGCCACCAUGUGGUUGCUGGGAAUUGAACUCAGGACCUCUGGAAGAGCAGCCAGUGCUCUUAACCGCUGAGCCAUCUCUCCAGCCCCUGAGGGCUUGAAUCUUACAAAAAGGAAAGGCAUCACCAGAAGGGCCUGCAGCUGACCGGUCUCCACCCUUCCGGCCUCAUCUGCAGUCGGCAACUCUGCAACAACCAAUCAGCUCUCGAUUCUCCCCUCCUCAUUUUCUCUAGUCUUUACCUUUUUAUAAAACCAACCUCCAGGGGCUAAAGAGAUGGCUUGGUGGUUAAGAGCACUGGCUCAUCUUCUAGACCUGGGUUCAAUUUCCAGCACCCACAUGGCCGCUCACACCUGUCUGUAGCUCCAGUUCCAGGAGAUGCGGCAUCUUCACAGACACUCAUGCAGGCAAACACCAGUGCACAUAAAAUCAAUAAAUAAGAACAUUCUUUGGCCAUUGAAAGUCUAGGCUGGUCGUGAACUCACAGAGAACCACCUGCCUUGGCUCCCAAGGGCUCUGAUGACACUAAUGCAGCACCUUGGACCAAAAGUUGUCCAUGUCAGUGUCUGUGUCUAAUGCUCUACGCUGACUAAUGCUAGCAAAGGACAGGUUCCAACCAUUUAGCUUAGAGGCUUGGUUGAGUUUUUUCUUUAACGUGCACAUGCGCAAGCUGGAGUGUGUAUGUGAACCACAUAUGCAGAGGAGCCCACGAGCGUCAGAAGAGGGUGCUGGAGCCCCUGGAACUGGAGUUUUAGGCGGUUGUAAGCUGCCCAUUUGGAUGCUGGGAAUCCCUUGCUAGAGGAGUAUCCUCUCUCUGUCGCUCAGCCAUCUCUCCCGUCCCAGUAAAAAACUGCUAAGUGGCUUUAUUUUCCAUUCCAUAGUGAGGUGGGCAGAGGAAGGACUAAUUACCAGGCGCUCCAAGCCAGACUGAGCUGCUAGGCUGGCUAAUGUGACGCCGUGUCUCAAACGACAGCUUCCUGAGCAGGCCCAUAGCUACACUGUGGAAGAGACGGUUCCAGAGAGAGAACAUCCGUCCUUACUGCUCUCUCGCUUCUUAUGGCUGACACCAGAGAGGGGCCAGACACAUUUGUCAGUAGGAGUAAGACACACAGUGCUUUGUCCAGUGACUGCCUUCUGACUAGUGUGGACAGCUGACAAAGAGGCCUUCAUCGUGAAGGCCAAGUGGGCUGCAGUUCGUCUAGGCAGUUCCUUCUUGGUGUGUGAGGAGGAGGAGGGCAACAAUUGGCCUAAAAUAACCAGACAUUCCUUGGGGGUGGGGGGAAUGCUGACGCUGCCCAGAGGAUGUUUUGUGAUACCCGUCUCUGGCUGCCUGCACUGCCUUGCUGCCAGAGUGGAAGAGUCAGUCCAGCUGCCGGACAGCUGGGCCAUCCGGCAACACUGGUGGUCUUGCAAAUGUUAAGGGCAAGCUUUUGUGUAACCUGUUAAAAAUGGACUAGCUUGGAACACACGAGGUAGAUCAGGUUAGCCUCAAAAAUCACAAAGAUCGACCUGGUUUUGCCGCCCAAACUCUAGGAUUAAAAGUAUGCACCACCACACCUGGCUAGGGAAAGCAUUUUUUUUUUUUUUUUUUUUGGUUCUUUUUUUCGGAGCUGGGGACCGAACCCAGGGCCUUGCACUUCCUAGGCAAGCGCUCUACCACUGAGCUAAAUCCCCAACCCCG